rnacentral:lncRNA from 1 species
CUACGUGGAUGUUGUCUAAGAUUGAUCUAAUUUUGGUCAAUUUCUCAGCUGAAUCAGCUAUAAUCGUUUGAAAAUACUUUGAGUUUAUUGAUUUUUGGGUGAAUUUUACACUACUUGAUGACCUCAAACUCAAAGGGAAGAAAAAAGAAAGACGGAUGGAGAAGAAGAAAGAAAAGAGGAAAGUUGAGAUGGUGAAAAGAUAAAAGAAAAGAGAGAAAACUGUGAUUGUGAUUCUAAAUCAGAGGAGGGAACAUUGCUUUUGCUUUGCUUGCUAUUCACUGCAUCCAUCCACUGCAUUUGUUGUUUACUACUCCAUCCAUCGGGUAGAAUAGUGGACCCCAUCGGUCUUAGCUCCCUUUCCUUCUGUGAGAAAUACUUGUUAAUGAUUUAUACAACACUAAUUUUAGCCUAAUUUCAAUCUAUCGAGAUGUCAAAAUAUCAGUAAAAAAAGAAGAAAAUUAGCUGAUAAAUGAAUACGUGAAUAAAUUUGUGGCACAAACUCUUGUCUCGUCACAGAACCAUCGUAUAGUUGUACUAAGAUAAUAACAUUAAUCUAAAAAUCCAUACACAAAUAGAUAGAUUAUAUAUAUAUAUAUAUAUAUAUAUAUAUAUAUAUAUAUAUAUAGACACACACACGCACAAACCUCAUCCAAAUCCCCUUUCUCUGUCCCCAUUCUCCGUCCGCGAUACAUCGUCGUCGCUUUCCUUCGACAAAUGCGGAGAGAAGACAAAGAUUUGGAAUUCGACCGCUGGCCAAUUCGAAGCCCCAUUUGGUUUGGCUCCCCCCUUUCCUCCUUCCUCCCUUUUCUUGCUCCGAAUUAAAUCUUCUUAUGUGACGUUUGUCGUCUGAAACGACGAUUCUCUUUGCUAUCAUGCAUUUGAUUCGUCUACACGAGGAGGAUUGUGGUUUGAAUUAAAUGAGUACUGUGGGUUAUCUACUUGUUUUCAUGAUAAAGGGGAAUGACAAAGAAAGUCUGACAAAAAUGCCAACCAUGACAUGAAUCCCAACACAUUAUUAUGUUCCGCUGAAGUUUCAUUGGACUUAGCCAGUGUAAUUCUUUCAUUAAUUUGUUUAAUGCUUAUAAGGAGCAACAUACAGUUGGAUGACGUGUCCAAUGUAUCCAAAUUGUGAAAUUGGAGCUAUAAUUUCUCCCGUUGCACUACACAUUCGAUGACCUAGAAGUGGCAGAAAAUGAAAUAUAACUUUUACAUCGCAGUUUUAAUACUUAGAUGCAAGUGUUGGGAAUCUCAUUAGUUAUUGGAAUCGACAAGACACUUUAUAUGAUCCACAUGUCCAAUAAUAAUAAUGACCAAACACAUUUAUCAACUAGUCAUAAAUGAGAGACUUUUCAGAUAUUUAAAAUUAUUUUAAAUUGUUUUGAUGAUGAAAGAAAGCAUUAAGUAUACUUUAAAAAAAAAAUAAAGGAUUGGUGUCCCUUUUCUGGCCUAUCUAUACCAUCAAGGGAUAGACAUUAAGUUCCAUAAGACAUAUAUUAGAAGACACCAGUUGUUUCUUAAUAAAUUAAUCUAAGGAAUCCAAUAUGUGAAAUAAUCAAAGGCUUACUCUUGGACAACUAUGACUCAAGGUAAGUUUAUUUCGUUUCAUGUCCAAUAUAAAUCCAUUGUUUUGCUUACAACAAGAGCAUUUCAAAUCUGUAUGUAUAUGAGUUUUCUAAUCUACUGUUCUCAAUAUUAUUUUUUAAAACUACAUAGAAAGAAAAGAAAAGUGGUGGAUAAAAAUGUAAUAUUUACAUGGUAAUUUUAACUUUUAGAUACAAGUGCACUUCGAGCCUGUUUGCCUUUGCAUUUUAUAAUUAUUCUUUUUGAAUAUUGUUCUUCAACACUACUUAGAAAGAAAACACAAGAAGGUGCUACAAAGGUGCAUACACAGACUUCUUGAAUUUUUGCUGCAAGAAGUACUCGUGACACUUGUUUUAUGGCACAAAAAGUGCUGUUCGUUUCAAUGGUACUUGAGUGACACACUAAACUCAGCUCUAGUAGAUCAUAUGUACAAUGGGAUCUAACAUGCUGUUGUUCCUUUUUUCAUGCUUUUUGUAAACUUGUUAUGUCCAAGGUUGUAUUACUCCUUUCUGUUCAAGAACAUGCGAAAAAUGCUGAUUAUUUCAGUGUUUUGACUUUUAUUUCAUGUCUCAACAUGCUUUGUAAUUAAUCUUUAAUUAUUUGUUACAUAUGCUGUUGCUUACUGAUGGGGUCAAGGAUUUCAAAUAACGUUUGUGAUUGAAACUGAGGAUUUGAAAUAAUGUUUGUGACUGAAACUGAACAGAUAGAAUUGUAAGGCAACAGAGAUUCUCUGAUGAACUCUAUCUCAACGAAUGGCUGUUAUAAUAUUUUGGUCUUUGUUAUAUACAUAUUUACAUGAAUAUUUCCUGUGAAAUUUAGUUUUGUGGUAUAAAGCACUAUUAUCAGCAUGGUUUCUUUAUUGUUUAUCUAUAUCUAUAAUGUUUCAUGUUGUGUUUUUCUUGGACUGCUCAUUCAGUUCUGUUAAUUCCCUGCUUUUCAGUUUUGUUUCUGUCCUCUCUCUAUAUGUGUUUUCCACAAGGAACCAAUAUUCUUGACCUUACAUGCUAUUCAAUUAUAGGCUUUUGGAAUUGUUCCUCCAUACUGAAACAUUAGCAUUUUUGUGACAAUGGAAAAUUUGAUUUGUUCUUCUUAUUUUUUGUAUUUCUUGGAGUUUUAAAGUAUGACGUUGUUAUGCACGUGAAAGUAAAUUGAACGGUGCAAUUCUGCAGUUCUGUACUAUAUGCCCUUAGUUCUGGAAGAUGAAGGACUGAAGUAGGUGCAAUGGCAUUGAUAGCACAUCACACACAGGUUCUUAAUGCUAAAACCCAUGCUGCUAAUUUCGUAGCCUUUACAUCCCCUUUCAUUUUUCUGCACUUUCUUCCUUUAGUUGCUGUCUAUGUCAUGUUUGCUAAUAUUCAUAAUCAAUAGAAGACUAUAAUAUAGUAUUCUAAGGUUAUGCUGUUUUUUGUCAACCUUCAGGGUUCUUUUUCAACACAUUCACUGAGUUGUAGUGCAUCAAGUAGAAGGGCAAAUGUGAGGUCCUCGAUUGUUCAGUUGCUGUAUAAAACACGUGUUUGUGCCCCUGAAGCAUCAUUUUCAUUUUAGGUAUGACUUAAACACGAAUGUGUUCGAAAGGAAUAUGACCAUUUUUGCCAUAGUUGUUAUUGGCUUUAAAAAAUAACAGAGGUAGUUUUUUAAGAUAAAGGAAUACAUGCUAUGGAUUGUUAAUUUUACUAGAGUAAUUGUUACUUGUAGGCUUGUUUAAUUUAAUGUUGCCCAAUAUCACUAUACCUCCUCUUUGCAGCUAUCUAUGAUUGGAUUUAGAAUCAGGUUCAGAGUACUUUGCUUCCUGGAUUUGCAGUGGUACAUGUCCGGAAUGCAGAAAUUUGUUGUUUGGUUUCAUUGCUAUGGUUACCAUGUUAUCCAAAAUGAAUGGUCUAAUCCACAAAACUCACCCCCGCAGUUUGAAGAAGGUUAACAUGUUCAGCCUUACCUAUACAAUUAAAGAAAGAGGUCAUUUCCAUUGACUUUACAAACCUAAGUUGAGGACAGAAAGGCAAACUCAUCAUGGAGAUAAGGCUAACCUUUGAAGACAUUUUUAUUAUAACAUUUUUCCUCCCACUAUUCAGCAUCUUGUUGGGACAUUUCUCACUAUUCAGUAUCUUGUUAGGACAUUUCUUAAGCUUAAAAAAUCUGGAAUUUGAACAUCGUCUCUGAUUUUUAUUUUGCUGUUAGUCUUACAUUUACUUUGUUUGGUAUAAACGGUGUAGAUUGGUAAUUGUCUUUGACUCUUUGUUUGGUUAAAUAUAUUGCAGUGUUGUUGAAAAUGUUUAGCUUAUGAUAAAACUUUUGGUGACUUUAUGGUGAAAAUUUGCAAUCGACUGAAUGAAUGCAUUCCUCUUGAUGACAUCGUGAUAUAGUAUUGAAUGUGGAAGAGUACUGCCAAAGUGAUAGUGACCUUUUGUUGCCUCUGUAUUAUGAUGACCAGUUGAUUUUACAAACUAGACCAUUAUAGUUUGGCUGAUUGAUUUUGCAAGAGGCAAAUCAUAUCUUACAAAUGGGUAUGGUAUAAGAUAACAGACAUGAUAGUAUACCUUACAUGCUGAUAUCGGCUGACAUGGAGGCCUAACAUUUUCAGAACCACAUGAAUAGAUGUUGGUGGAUUGCUUUUUAUAGUUUUGAUUUUUUGGAACCUUUUUAUGUUCUUGUCUCUCAUAAAAUUGAAUAAAUAAGUUUUGAUAGAAGGAUUUUGUGGCACACAUCUUUUUCAAAUAAUUGGUCUUAGUUAAGGAAAGUUGAGAUUGAAUUCCAAAUACCAUUCAGUCAGCUAACACUGCAUGGUGCCUUUUUUUCUUUUCGUUCAAGAAUUUUGACUUCUUUUACUCUUUUGAUCGGCUUAGUCAGUUAGUAUUUGUUGAUAAGAUCUAUUGCUAUGUUUAGAUUCCUUGGUCUUACCACUUCGAUUGAAGAUCCAACCUAACUCCAUGAGGUUGACUACGUUGGGCAAAUUUCAUCAUAAAAAAUAGGUUAUUAAAUAUAUGUGUACUAGUCUUUGGCGUAUUAUUUUUCAUCGUUGUCUUUUGGAGGACAAUAAAAUGAAUUUUUUAUCCAUUUUUUAUGGGUAUGUGUUUCUUUAGUAGUUUGGUAUCAUGAAAUUAAUUUUAGGUACCCAUGAAACAGUUUGUAUUAAAGCAUAUUUUGGUUGUUCAAGGUGUUGGGCGCGGAGCCAACCUCGAUUGAGUAGGUUAGGUAGAAGAUCCUACAAAACUAAAUCAGAGGCAUGCCCGACAAAAGUCUUUCCAAAGUAGAGCUGGAGAAAUGUAAUAGUUGCUUUAAAGGGUUCAAAGGGCUGUUAGGUGACUUAGCAUACCUAGGACAUUUUAUAUAAAGCUUUGGUAAUCGUCAAUAUUAAGUGGGAAGUUAAUUUGUGGAAUUAUUAAGCGUUACUCGAUCGUGGAGAGUUAACCAAACCAUCAGGACAUUUCCAUUAGCAUAGUCGUGCGAACUUGGUAUAUUAUAGUUGUCCAAUGUGUUGGGCCAUGGAGCUAACCUUGAUUCAAGCUUGGGUCUAUUGUCAGUUUAAUCUCGCUAGAUGAUUGGGUUCAAUAGGGGCAUAUGCAAAAUUUAGUCGGGGACAUACCAAACAAAAGUCUUUGAUGCUUAUGUUAGUAUAUCUAGAGAAAUGUAAUGUAGGAUUCGGAGGUUUCAAAGAGCACUACCUAGGGCUUUUUAAUAAGGGUUUUGAUUACCAUCAAAAUUAAGUGGUUUCGUUGGAUUGUUGGGUGUUACUCGGAUGUGAGGAGUCACUCAAACCGUUAAGAGAUAUAUGGCAGCUUCAUGGCUGGAUUUGACCAUAUUAGAGAUACAGGGAGUUUCGUGGCUAGAUUCGAUCGCAUUCGGGAUAGAGAAUAAUUCAUUAUCAUAUUCCAUUACAUCGUUGAUAAAGGAUACUUUAUGGUCAUAUUCGGCCACGUUGGAGAAAUGAUGCUUCAUGUCGAAGUCAAUUGCAUCGAGGGCUCGAGAUGCAUCUUGGCAACAUCAUCAAGCUUUUUUUAUCGUUUUUCUACCACAAGCCACUCCAACUACAAGCUCGACUUACCUUUGUUCUACAAUUGAAAUACGAUUUGCUUUAGUAACAACGUCAUAUUAAUUUUUGAUGAUUUGACAUUUUUGCCCUGAUACUUGAUCUUUUAUGUUUGAUUGGGGCCUUCCAUAUCGUGCACCACUCAAAUUAACGAAAAAGCUAAGGAUAAGGUAGUGAAGGCCUAACAAUGCCUGACCCCUAUAAAAGGGAGCCUUAGUUGUAUCUGAGCUUCCUACUUUACAAAGCCACCAUCUUUGAUACUAAACAAACAGGUGGCUGCAGUCUGUGGGCAAAGGCAUCCAUGGAAGCCACCUUCUUCAUUUUAGUAGGUAAAAGCAGUUAACCUUACCUGUCUUCCCCACCCGAUGAACAGCUUCCUUGAAGCUUCCUACAGUUUCUUGCACUCAGCUGAUUGGACUCAGAAAAUAAAUAUUUCAUCUUAUUUAAUGUCAGUUUUCAGAAUUAUAUACCCUCAGCAACCUUUUUUUUUUUCUAUUCAAGGACAUAAAACUGCUUUGUUGAUAAAUUUUGCUGUUAAUCUCGAGUUUUGGUAAAUUGAGAGCUAUGUCAUGAUGUCUUUAGAACUAAAUUUGGCACAACAGGAUAAAUUUCUAGCAUGCUUCUUAACCCUAAUGUUAGAAACCUAGUGGAUUCAGGUACAUGUUGCAUGAAACUCCACACACUCAUCAGGCUUGAUUGAAUUUUUAUGAGACUCACAUCGUGACAUCCAAGUUGAUGCUAAUUUAAUGAUUUAGUUUGAGGAGUCAUUACAUCCAAAUGCGAGCUUACUCAACGCACUUGAUCAGUGUCAUAGGAAACAUAUAUAUUAUCAUGAUAGAGUAUGAAAGCUUAGAUUAGGUAUAUAAAACACUAAGUGAUAGACAGAGUAGUAUCAGCAUGAAUAUGAAUGUUAGCUAGAUAUAUAAUUCAUGGUGUAGGAUUCAUGACAAAGGAGGUGAGUUGUACAUUAAAAGUUGUCUUAGUUGCCCAGUGAAGAAAAAAAAGGCUUUUUCAUUAAGUUCAUGAACCUGAAACACUGGUCCAAAGUGUUUAUUCAUUUAUUUUAUGAGCCUUGAAGUAUUUUUUUGUUCAUCAUCUCGACCCAGUCUGAUAACUUAUUAAUUUGAUGAGUAUGAAACACUAAUUCAAAGCACUUGCAUCCAUAUUAAUGAAAAUAGACUUAUUUAACAAUCUGCCCCACUUAUGUUUAACAUAUUGAACUUUACACUCAGCCAUCUUUUCUGGUUUGGGUACCUCAUCAUGCCCAUUAAUAAAUCCCCCUUGAUAUGAUUUGUCACAACUUGAUCUGAGGAGAUAUCUUAAUAACAUUAUGAAUCUGAACUAAGUGCUUAGGCCAAAGUUAAUAACGAUAAACUUAUGUAGCUCUAUAUACCAAUUUGAUUGAGCUGUUGUAUGUGAUGUAGAUCUAAACAUGCGGCAUCACAUUCUUUUAUCCUGCUAUAAAUGCUCCUCAUCUUCAUGGCUUCACCUAAACAUCACUUGAAGUCCUCACAAGAACAGCCAUGUCUUCUCUUGGAGCCAGCUAUGCUUACAUCCAUGAACUGAGGAAACGCUGCAAGGAAAUGGAGAGGAAGAAGACAGAUGGUGGUGUGGCCACAGAGGAGAAGAGCUCCAAGGGAAGAGUUCAUCCUAGUGACACCCCUUCACCAGUGUGUCGUGAAGAACGAGGUGAAGGUAAUUGUUGGAGAAGCUCGGUCACCAAAUAAAUCCCCAAAAAAGAAAGAUGAUGAAUUAUUGGGUGUUGAUGGGGGGCUUGUUUUACAUUUAGACAAUGCUAUGUCCACAUAUAUAUAUUUUGCCUUCCAAUGUUCCAAGUCUCUUUAGUAGGGAAAUGUGGGAGGAAUAAUCAUCCAAUUGUUUUCUUUUUCUCUACCUAGAUACGACAGAAAUAGAUGUUGCUUUCAUUAUUAACAUAGUCAGGUUCAUAGCCAUAUGGAAGUUUUUUUAAUGAAUAUUUUUCUUCUAUCAUAUCAAAUUGCACACAAGAUACAAGCUCAACAAUGGAUGGUAAUAUUAUGGAAUAAUCACAUUUAUGGCCAACUAAGGAUCAGAAUAUUUUAAGGAUGGUAAUAUGUAUCCUAGAGAUUAUCCAAACUCAACAAUGAAGACAACAACAAUUGAAGUUUGUAUGCGGGUUUCAAUUUUACUUAUAACUUAAAUUCAUCUUUGAUAAGAAUGAUCUCUCAGCUGAUUGUUAGGGUUGACAAGUAUUUUAAAAAUAAAUUUAUUUGGAGGAUAAAAAAUUUAAAUUUUAUGAAAAGAAAUUUUUGUGAAUCAGAGUUUAGUUGUCUUGUAAAUAUCUAAUAUAUCUCAACGUCUUAACAAGACAUCAUGAAAAAAAAAAAAAAAAAAAAAAAACCCUUGGUGGUGAUAAUUUUAUACUGAUAAUUUUGAGCUUUUAUCUAUCAGAUUAUUUUAAUGUCCCUCAGACAACUUUUUGCUCGUGUCAAUCGAUCCUGUUGCCCAAGUGCAAGAAUUCUGGCAUCUUGAUACUGAAUUUGCUCCUUUUUUUUUCUUUUGUUUUCUUCUAUUUCCGUUCUUUGGGUUGUAGACUUUGUGCUCUAAUUUUGAGUUGGAUUUCCUAUAGUCUGAAAAGCUAUUGCUCUUCUUCGUUCAUAAUCAGCCAUAUUUUUGCUCCUUUGGCUUUCAGAAUCUGGUUGGAGCAAGCAAGUUCUUUUAUGGAUGUCAUCUUUGGCAUGGAUUGACGACCUCCAAGCAGAAGCAUUCCUCUGAUCUGAUCACCAGGCCUACUCAAUCGUGGUCCUCGAUGAACAUGAGAUAAAAGUACCUUGGCCUGCUUACAAAGUACAAGCUUCCAAGUGCAAGCUUCCUCUUGUUAACUCAAACAUAGACUGGAGUAGCUUUAAGAGGAUACCAGCUACUCCUAGAGUCCUUAACUUUCUGCUUAGAACUUCAUAGAACACAUUUUCUCAUUUCGGACAGACUUGCUGCUUUAAAUAUUUCCUUACUUCAUCAAUUUUGGUGCUGCAGAAUAUGAGACUGAAUCCAUCCAUAAAAGAUCGUAUCUUCUUUUCUUGUCAAUUUGCUCGAGAGUUUUGGAACUACUUUCAGAUCCAUUUGAAUGAAAUUUUAAUUUCAUUGCAGCUUUUAAAUGAUUAAAAUAUUUUUAUUUAGACAGAUUACAAAUCAUAUCGGUUUUUCUUGUUAUCAGUUAAACAAAGUUGAAGGUUUAUUAUGAUAAAUUUAUAUAUAUAUCUUAUUAUGAUGAUGGAUUGUGGUCUGAAAUCCAUCUAAUUAAUUUGUAUGCAUAAAUAUUUUAUCCAAUGAGUUUAUACAUCUAAAUUAACAAAAAAAUUGGUCUAAUAAUUUUAUCUAAAAUAUUCUAUCCAAUUUAUUGAGAAUAUUAACUUCCAUCUGCGAAUUCUCUCUCCACCGCUUGCUCUUAGGGUUUCGAGGUUUUUUGCUUUUUAGGCGCAGUCGGAGAGGAAGGGAAUACGGUGUUGGUGACGGUUUGUGUCUUCGGACAAGAAGAGGAGACCGAUGAAGAGGUCACCGGCAUUCUCUCUCUUCUCCAAAACCCUCUGCUUCAUCUAUCGCCCUCGUCCCGCCGAUGCUCUACUUUCCUCCUCCUCCUCUUACUCCGUCGCCGCUACCGGAAGCGGAGCUCUUCAGCCCAGCUUCAUGGCCGAAUACCUCGUCACGACAUGUGGCUUCUCCCCGGAGAAGGCGACCAAGGCCUCGAAUCUCCUCGGCGGCAUCGCGUCCCGCCGGCAGCCCGACUCCGUCCUUGGCUUUCUCAAAAGCCACGGUUUCGACGACACCCAUGUGAAAGAGCUGCUGUCUGGGAACCCCCGGUGGCUUCUCCUCGACGUGGAGACGAACCUGGCCGCCAAGUUCCGAACUCUCCAGGAGUUAGGCUUCUCACAGUCCGACAUCACCCACCUCGUCGUGGCCAAUCCCUCCGCAAUCAACUGUCGCGUCCCCACCAUGGUGCACAAGAUCCGGUUUUGGCAGGGACUCAUCGGAUCCAACGACCUACUCAUAAAGGUCUUUAAGCGCCGCCAGUGGAUUCUCGGGUAUAGCAUUGAGAAGAGGAUCCAGCCAAACAUCGAGAUGCUACGGAGCUGUGGAUUCACGGAUCAAAAGCUUAGAACGAUCCUGAGGUACCGGCCCACGUUGGUAACCCAGAGGGCGGAAACCUUGAGGGCUUUGAUCAGUCGUGCCGACGGAUUCGGAGUACCCCGCACCUCGGGGAGGUUCCACUGGACUCUGUUGAUGCUCUCCACUCUUAGCGUGGAGAGAUGCAAUGCGCAAAAGAAGCUAUUCGGGGCCUUCGGGUGGUCAGAGGCCGACUUCCUCGACGCAUUAAAAAAGACUCCUGGUUUCUUGACAUGUUCCCUGAAGAAUCUGAAGAUGAAAAUGGAAUUCUUGGUGAAUGAGGCUGGAUAUGCUCCGUCUUAUAUAGGUCAGAGGCCUGUGCUUUUGACAUAUAGUUUAGAGAAAAGGUUGAUCCCAAGAUAUCAGCUCAUGGCAGCCCUGAAGUCCAGGGGGUUGUGCGCUGGUCAUCCCAAAUCGCUCGCAUAUAUGCUGUGUCCAGAGAAGAAGUUCUUGGAAAGGUAUGUCAUCAUCUACAAGAAGCAGUUUCCGGAGCUCAUUGAAUCGUACAGUGUGAGAAAAUAGUAGUUCUGGAUUAGCUAGCUGUAGGUUUUGGCUCCUUUUACUCUCUGCUUAACUUGAUCUGCAGUUUGAGACUUAUUAGUAAUAUGAUUUAUGUCAUUUGCUUCCUUUUUUUCUGGUGCAUUAAGAGGAAUGUAGCUGCAUACAUGUAGAAAGAAAGGAAAGCAAUAUGAAGUGGAACACAAUGACUUCUUGUAGCAUGUUGAUUCGGUCAAUUGUUUCCUGAUAAUUACCUGCAUAGGAAAAAUCAGAUACUGUAGGAAUUGAUACUGUUGUCCCAUUCUUUUUUUUAACCAACUUCUGGGAACACAUUUGGCAGACGUGUGCGCUUGUGUGUGUGUGUGUGUGUGUGUCGUAGUGACUAUGAAACUGAAACAAAUUCUUUGUUUGAUCUAUGGCUCUCCUUGAUGUGCAUUGAAGUAGAUGCUUUGCUUAUGUUGUAGCUGAUAUCAUUAUGUUAUCAUGAAGAAUUUUGAGAUGAUGGUUUCAAAGGUCACAUUACUAUUAAACUAUGGAGUUAUGGUUGCAUCGUUUUUUUCUCCUUUGAUGAAAAAUUGGUGCUUUUGAUCGAUUUUGACAUGAUACGUCGAAUCUGCAUGGAUGUUGUCUAAGAUUGAUCUAAUUUUGGUCGAUUUCUCAGCUGAAUCAGCUAGAAUCAGUUGAAAAUACUUGAGUUUAUUGAUUUAUGGGUGAAUUUUACACUACUUGAUGACCUCAAACUCAAAGGGAAGAAAAAAGAAAGACGGAAGGAGAAGAAGAAAGAAAAGAGGAAAGUUGAGAUGGUGAAAAGAUAAAAGAAAAAAAGAGAAAACUGUGAUUGUGAUUCUAAAUCAGUGGAG